ACUACAACCCACACAAGCUAGUACAGUAGUUCAGUCUGUCCACUACAACACACCAGCUGUACAGUAGUUCAGUCUGUCCACAUACACACACACCACAGCUAGUACAGUAGUUCAGUCUGUCCACUACACUACAACACACAGCUAGUACAGUAGUUCAGUCUGUCCACUUCACUACACACAGCUUGUACAGUAGUUCAGUCUGUCCACUACACACAAACACACACAGCUAGUACAGUAGUUCAGUCUGUCCACUACAACACACACAGCAGUAGUACAGUAGUUCAGUCUGUCCACUUCACUACGCACAGCUAGUACCGUAGUGUUCAGUCUGUCCACUACAACACACACAUAGUACAGUAGUUCAGGUCUGUCCACUACACUACAACACACACACAGCUAGUUCAGUAGUUCAGUCUGUCCCACUACAACACACACAGCUAGUACAGUAGUUCAGUCUGUCCCACACACACUACACACUACAACAGCAUCGACAGUUAGUUCAGCGUCUGUCACUUUACACUACACACAGCUAGUACAGUAGUUCAGUCUGUCCACUCCACUACACUACACAGGCUGUACAGUAGUUAAGUCUGUCCACUUAGUUGGUUCAGCCCGGUUGGUCUCCCCGGUUGGUCAGCCCGGUUAGUCUCCCCAUUUGGUCAGCCCGGUUAGUCUCCCCAGUUGGUCAGCCCGGUUAGUCUCCCCAGUUAGUCAGCCCGGUAAGUCUCCCCGGUUAGUCAGCCCGGUAAGGUCUCCCCGGUUAGUCUCCCCGGUUUGUCAGCCUGGUAGUCUCCCCAGUUGGUCAGGCCCGGUUAGUCUCCCCCGUUGGUCAGCCGGUGUAGUCUCCCCAGUUGGUCAGACGUGGUUCUCCCAGUUAGUCAGCCCGGUUUUAGUAUCCCCAGUUAGU
rnacentral:lncRNA from 1 species